rnacentral:lncRNA from 1 species
UCCCAAACAGAAAAUAUAUAUCUAUCUGUUGGAGGUGGCUGAAGUCAGGUCAUGUUGUAAGGCAGAGGGAUAUGGCAGAUGCCUGUCUAUGGCUCAUAGAAACAGAUAAUUUAGUCAUGGCUUAAAAAUGGCACCAUGAAUUUUCCUUAGAAGUUCUUUCAGAGAAAACCUCUCUAGUCUACUUUGUAAAUGAGAAUUAGGGAAAUUUUCCCAAAUUAAGCUUUUUUUUUUUUUUCCCUAGGGAAUAUUUUCUUAGCCUACUAAGUGCAAGUUCACUCAAGUUUACCUAUUCAGCAUUGC